rnacentral:rRNA from 1 species
AUUGAACGCUGGCGGCAUGCCUUACACAUGCAAGUCGAACGCGAAAGCGGAGCAAUCCGCAAGUAGAGUGGCGAACGGGUGAGUAAUACAUCGGAACAUUUCCAGUAGCGGGGGAUAACCUGUCGAAAGAUAGGCUAAUACCGCAUACGCCCUACGGGGGAAAGCGGAGGACCGCAAGGCUUCGCACUAUUGGAGUGGCCGAUGUCGGAUUAGCUAGUUGGCGGGGUAAAAGCCCACCAAGGCUACGAUCCGUAGCUGGUCUGAGAGGACGAUCAGCCACACUGGAACUGAGACACGGUCCAGACUCCUACGGGAGGCAGCAGUGGGGAAUUUUGGACAAUGGGCGCAAGCCUGAUCCAGCCAUGCCGCGUGAGUGAAGAAGGCCUUCGGGUUGUAAACUGCUUUUGUACGGAACGAAACGGUCGCCUCUAAUAAAGGCGGCUAAUGACGGUACCGUAAGAAUAAGCACCGG